UACAUCUGAAGGGGCAAGAGAAGAAGAGAUGGUUUGUGUCUUCGGUGCUAUUCCAGCACAGGAAGUAGGAGGGUGAGGCCUGGAUGUUCUGUGGAUGAGGAAAGAUUGAGUAGGGAGGCAAUUGGAGAGAGAAUGCCAAACAGUGAAAACUAUGGCAGUGGAUGUGGCCUUUAAACCAUGUAGUUUUGUGCCAAGGAGCAGCCAGGGACUGGAUACGAAUGAAUUCCCAAGCAGAGACCAUAGUAAAGAAGCUCGAAGAGGAGGGUAUCUACAGGACCUUAUCAUCCUUGCCACGGUGGCCAGGAGGAAUGGGAGGAAGAUCGGACCAGAUGUCAGAGAGAGGAGGGGGGAACGAUGAGGGGACUAGCCUGUGGGGGAGAGGAUGGAGGAGACCAAUGAAGAUCUGGGGAGCCCAGAGGAGUAAAUGGAUCAUAGAGAAAUGAGGUUGAAAAGGAUGCCAGAAGGGUGCUAGGGGUCGAGCUAGAGGUAGGUGGAAGAGCCAUUGCUAAUAGCAUAAGAGAGGCCUCUGAGAGCAAAAGGCCUGGAGUUGAGAAUUGAGCGCCAGCAAGAAGCAUCCAAGGGAAUGAUAGACCAAAGGGAAUCGUUUUUAAGGGGGGAAGUUCUUGUAUUUCCUUGCAUAUGUGCACUUAUUUUGUUCAUUUUUAUUGUUGCUACAUGUAGGAAAUCAUGUUCCCGCGAUGAUCCACCUGUAGGAAGGUUGCUAUGGUUCUAUUGUGCCAGAUGUCUAUUGGGGGUUUCGACACCAUCUGGUUUAGAACCCAAAUCGACUAGAAUAAGUGGGGUGUGUUCUCAGUCCAGCCUAUUGCUAUGGAUAGGCCUAUCAGGACUGUAGAUCUCCAGGCUUUUCGUGUGCGGGAGAGAUUCGAGGCACUUGGGUGGGAAGCCCUGCUUAAGCCUGAUGAGGAGGCUUAUCCCUGUUUGGUAAGAGCCUUCUAUUGCAACCUUAUUGUAGAUUCUUUCCAGAUGGUGAGUAUUACAUCACUAGCCGAGUGCAUGGGGUAGACAUUUCCUUGACCACGGAGGAGUUUAGUCAAGUUAUUGGGGUUUCUAGUGCUUGCACAAGACCUAUUGUGCCCCGAAGACCAGUUUCUUGCAGUUCCUUACUGAAGAAGAGUGGGAUAUUAUGCGUGAGGUUGUUGUGACAGGUGGGAAUGCCAACUGGGCAUUAUGUUCUAACUGGUGGCCUACACCUAGGGUACUGUGUAGGGUGGUACAGUACAACAUUCUGCCUAUCUGUGGUCACUUCAGCGAGGUAUCUCUGUUACAGGCUUACACAACAUUCUAUUCAUAUGUUUGGGAGCAGAUCAGUUUGCCGUACAUCAUAAUGAUACACAUGGUGUACCGGGCCAGUCAUUCAGGUGAGGGUCAUCUAUUUUCUGGGAGGAUCUUGACUAGGAUUUUCCAUCACUUUGUGGUCAGGUUGGAUAAUGAGCAGAAAAGCAGGGUAGUUUUUACUCCUUUUGAUAGAUUCGUUCUUGAGUAGAUGCAUUUGGACCUUCUGGUCGGCAGUGACGAGGAUGUGCCCGCAGCUGAUCCACCACAAGGGCUUGUAGUUGGGGAUGAUCAGGAUAUGGGUGUGGAUGUCAAGGUGGAUGUUGGUGAUGAGUUUGAGGAGCAUCUUCCACAUGUGAUAGAGGAUGUACAUGGAUCCGUGCCAUUAGAGGAGAUCCACAGACUGGUCAAAUUCCUUUGGAGACUCUCUAGGAUGCUUCCUCAUUACCUCGAGGAGAACCGACUAUGAGGGAGGCUAUGGCAUACAUCCAGACUAUUAUGCAGAGUCUGCAUUCUAGCUUCAUGUCUCUGGAUGAUCAUAUGAAGAUGAAGAUCGAUGCUGUUGGGGAUCCAGUGUCUAUUCUGGAGACUACGGUGUAGGGUUUAGUCGAGUACUUGGGUGUCCCUCCUAAGUACAGGCCUCCACAGUAUCGGCCCCAGUCUCAGUAGCCAUCUACCUCCACUAGCCAGUAGCCCCAGUAGAGCAGCCCAGCCGUGUCUGAGAACUUACUUUCACUUUUUGAUUGACUUAGCUCAGUUUCAGAUGUUCAGUUGUUUAUUUAUUUAUGUUUAGUGACUUUUCUUACUUUUAUUUAUGUAUUUAUUUAUUUUAUAUCUUUUCUCUCUUCCCCUAUCUUAUUGUCUCAGUUGGAUAUGAUGUACCAAACUGUGUAAUCAACUUAUGAUCUUUAUGGAAGUAUUUUGUGUUUUUGGCUUA